rnacentral:tRNA from 1 species
AGUUAAAUAGCUUAGGCAAGCAUAUAUUUUGAAAAUAUAAGAGAAAGGUUUAACUCCUUUAUUAACUU